AACGCAUAUUGCGCCCUUUGGUAUUCCGAAGGGCAUGCCUGUUCGAGCGUCAUUACUCCCCUCAAGUCUAGGCUUGACGUUGGGCGUUGCCUGCGGAAGGCACGCCUUAAAGGCAGUGACGGUUACCCUUAACCUCAGGCACACAGAUGUUGUCAUGCGGAAGAGGGCGGCCGGUCUUCUGAUGAAUUUCAAAAAGUUGACCUCGGAUCAGGUAGGAAUACCCGCUGAACUUAA
rnacentral:misc_RNA from 1 species